rnacentral:tRNA from 1 species
GGGCCCUUAGUUCAGUCUGGCAGAACGUCCGCUUUGCAAGCGGAAGGCCCAGGGUUCAAAUCCCUGAGGGUCCA